GUACGAGCGCAACCCUUGUCCUUAGUUACCAGCACGUUAUGGUGGGCGACUCUAAGGAGACUGCCGGUGACAAACCGGAGGAAGGUGGGGAUGACGUCAAGUCAUCAUGGCCCUUACGGCCUGGGCUACACACGUGCUACAAUGGUCGGUACAAAGGGUUGCCAAGCCGCGAGGUGGAGCUAAUCCCAUAAAACCGAUCGUAGUCCGGAUCGCAGUCUGCAACUCGACUGCGUGAAGUCGGAAUCGCUAGUAAUCGUGAAUCAGAAUGUCACGGUGAAUACGUUCCCGGGCCUU
rnacentral:rRNA from 1 species